UGGGGAAUUUUGCGCAAUGGACGAAAGUCUGACGCAGCGACGCCGCGUGUGCGAUGAAGGCCUUUGGGUCGUAAAGCACUGUCGACCGGGACGAAAACUCAGUGACUAAUACUCAUUGAGUCUGACGGUACUGGUAAAGGAAGCACCGGCUAACUCUGUGCCAGCAGCCGCGGUAAUACAGAGGGUGCAAACGUUGCUCGGAAUUAUUGGGCGUAAAGCGCGUGUAGGCGGCUUGUUAAGUCGGUUGUGAAAACCCAUGGCUCAACCAUGGAAGGGCGUCCGAAACUGGCAAGCUAGAGUCCCGACGAGGAUGGCGGAAUUCCCAGUGUAGAGGUGAAAUUCGUAGAUAUUGGGAGGAACACCGGUGGCGAAGGCGGCCAUCUGGGAGGGCACUGACGCUGAGACGCGAAAGCGUGGGGAGCAAACAGG
rnacentral:rRNA from 1 species